AGAGUUUGAUCCUGGCUCAGAUUGAACGCUGGCGGCAUGCCUUACACAUGCAAGUCGAACGGUAACGCGGGGCAACCUGGCGACGAGUGGCGAACGGGUGAGUAAUGUAUCGGAACGUGCCCAGUCGUGGGGGAUAACUGCUCGAAAGAGCAGCUAAUACCGCUUACGACCUGAGGGUGAAAGCGGGGGAUCGCAAGACCUCGCGCAAUUGGAGCGGCCGAUACCAGAUUAGGUAGUUGGUGGGGUAAAGGCCUACCAAGCCGACGAUCUGUAGCUGGUCUGAGAGGACGACCAGCCACACUGGGACUGAGACACGGCCCAGACUCCUACGGGAGGCAGCAGUGGGGAAUUUUGGACAAUGGGGGCAACCCUGAUCCAGCCAUGCCGCGUGCGGGAAGAAGGCCUUCGGGUUGUAAACCGCUUUUGUCAGGGAAGAAAAGACUCCUACUAAUACUGGGGGUUCAUGACGGUACCUGAAGGAUAAGCACCGGCUAACUACGUGCCAGCAGCCGCGGUAAUACGUAGGGUGCAAGCGUUAAUCGGAAUUACUGGGCGUAAAGCGUGCGCAGGCGGUUAUGCGAGACAGAUGUGAAAUCCCCGGGCUCAACCUGGGAACUGCAUUCGUGACUGCAUGGCUAGAGUACGGUAGAGGGGGAUGGAAUUCCGCGUGUAGCAGUGAAAUGCGUAGAUAUGCGGAGGA
rnacentral:rRNA from 1 species